rnacentral:lncRNA from 1 species
AUCUCUGCCUUCCUCUCCCAGGUCUUAAACGAAUAUUUCCACAAUGUCUGUGAACUGGACCUGGUGUUCAACUUCUACAAGGUUUACACGGUCGUGGACGAGAUGUUCCUGGCUGGCGAAAUCCGAGAGACCAGCCAGACGAAGGUGCUGAAACAGCUGCUGAUGCUACAGUCCCUGGAGUGAGGGCAGGCGAGCCCCACCCCGGCCCCGGCCCCUCCUGGACUCGCCUGCUCGCUUCCCCUUCCCAGGCCCGUGGCCAACCCAGCAGUCCUUCCCUCAGCUGCCUAGGAGGAAGGGACCCAGCUGGGUCUGGGCCACAAGGGAGGAGACUGCACCCCACUGCCUCUGGGCCCUGGCUGUGGGCAGAGGCCACCGUGUGUGUCCCGAGUAACCGUGCCGUUGUCGUGUGAUGCCAUAAGCGUCUGUGCGUGGAGUCCCCAAUAAACCUGUGGUCCUGC